rnacentral:rRNA from 1 species
CUACCAGACUCCUACGGGAGGCAGCAGUGGGGAAUAUUGGGCAAUGGGCGCAAGCCUGACCCAGCAACGCCGCGUGAAGGAAGAAGGCUUUCGGGUUGUAAACUUCUUUUAUGAGGGACGAAACAAAUGACGGUACCUCAUGAAUAAGCCACGGCUAACUACGUGCCAGCAGCCGCGGUAAUACGUAGGUGGCAAGCGUUAUCCGGAUUUACUGGGUGUAAAGGGCGUGUAGGCGGGACUGCAAGUCAGAUGUGAAAACCAUGGGCUCAACCCAUGGCCUGCAUUUGAAACUGUGUUUCUUGAGUGCUGGAGAGGCAAUCGGAAUUCCGUGUGUAGCGGUGAAAUGCGUAGAUAUACGGAGGAACACCAGUGGCGAAGGCGGAUUGCUGGACAGUAACUGACGUUGAGGCACGAAAGUGUGGGGAGCAAACAGGAUUAGAUACCCCGGUA